UGGAAAUGAACUUUUCUGUAUCUGGUGCAAUACAUGUGUUGUGCCUUGCGCCUGUUAAAGAUGCAGAGCUUUUUGGAACCGAAAUCCUGAGGUUUUAACGGGCAUUAAGGAUACUCUGCCACAUGCACCAUCUGAUUGAUGAUGCGAUCCAGCUCCUACAAAAAGAAAUACAUACCAUCUAGGACAAAAAGACGAAAACUGCCACCCUAGCUUUACCUACCUUCUACUAAACAAACAUGGCUGACUGAGAAACCUGUGCUGCUUGGUAUG